CAGAUAGUUGGCGGGGUAACGGCCCACCAAGUCUGCGAUCGGUAACUGGUGUGAGAGCACGACCAGUCACACGGGCACUGAGACACGGGCCCGACUCCUACGGGAGGCAGCAGUAAGGAAUAUUGGUCAAUGGACGCAAGUCUGAACCAGCCAUGCCGCGUGGAGGAUGAAGGCCCUCUGGGUUGUAAACUUCUUUUAUCUGGGACGAAAAAGGGACUUUCUAGUUCAACUGACGGUACCAGAGGAAUAAGCACCGGCUAACUCCGUGCCAGCAGCCGCGGUAAUACGGAGGGUGCAAGCGUUAUCCGGAUUCACUGGGUUUAAAGGGUGCGUAGGUGGGCAGGUAAGUCAGUGGUGAAAUCUUUGGGCUUAACCCGAAAACUGCCAUUGAUACUAUUUGUCUUGAAUAUUGUGGAGGUCAGCGGAAUAUGUCAUGUAGCGGUGAAAUGCUUAGAUAUGACAUAGAACACCAAUUGCGAAGGCAGCUGGCUACGCAUAUAUUGACACUGAUGCACGAAAGCGUGGGGAUCAAACAGAUUAGAUACCCUGGUAGUCCACGCCCUAAACGAUGGAUACUCGACAUACGCGAUAUACUGUGUGUGUCUGAGCGAAAGCAUUAAGUA
rnacentral:rRNA from 1 species